rnacentral:sRNA from 1 species
UAAUCUGCUGCGGUGAAAUAAAGUGGAUAUGGGUAUCUAUUCCCCCGGCUGUGGCAAUCAGAUUGGCACCAUUAUGGACUUCGGUGGCCGCACCGAUAAUCAUGUUUGGUGUCACACCAUCCAUAGUAUCGGGAUUACCUGCCUGCCCAACGCCCACAAUUUUACCAUCACGAAUACCGAUAUCAGCUUUGACGAUUCCCCAGUAAUCCAUUAUCAGUACAUUGGUAAUCACCAUAUCCAACACAUUCUGGUUGCUGCGUGUGGCAGUAGCAGACUGCGCCAUACCAUCCC